GGGGCGUUGGUGUAGUUGGUUAUCACGCAUCGUUCGCAACGAUGAGGUCGCGGUUUCGACUACCGCACGCUCCA
rnacentral:tRNA from 1 species